GAGGGCCCGGGACUUGUUUGCCACACCUGGGGAGUUUCGCGGCGGCAUCUGGAGGGGUCCUGGUUGAGCAGCUAGGGGGGUGUCUGGUAACCAGCCGGGCCCCUCAGGCUCCCUCCCGGCAGGCCCUGAACAGACAGCCAGGGAUGGAACUCGCCCCCUGGGCACCCUGUGCCUGCCCUCAGCCUCCCCACUGAGGCCCAGGACUUUAGAGGUGGGCGUGCCCGCCAGGCUGCCAGGCCGUCCCUCCGUGGGCAGCUGAGCAGGCCACAGUGUGGAAGAGGCUCCAGAAAACCCAGCCCUGCCGCUGCACACGUGCGUGGCCAGCAGAUAAAGUCUUCCUUGUUAUUGUGGGCAGCGUAGCUGCACCUGCGGUGAGGCCGGCACUGCUGAAGAGAUGUCAAUUCACAGAGCUUGACUAUGACCCAAAGGUGAGGUCAGGACUCCGGGAGAGGAUGGCAGCGGUCUUCAGGGGAAACUCUCCUUUUCUUCUGUCUGGACACUGGAGCCACACACUCGCCUGUCCCCAUCCUCCCACAGCAUAGGGCUCCUGGGACCUCGGCCCUGGGCAGGAUUUGGGGGAUGGCCACGUCUCUCUGAGUGGGCUCUGCUCAUGGUCCUCACAAGGCCCGGGACAUGGAUGAGACCAGGCUUGCGUCCUCUGCCUCCCCGCCCCACUGUGGCUGUGCCAGCCUCCCUGACAGGGGCUCUUCCGUCCACGUGCCCCUCCUGGGCCACUAUCCCGUUAUAAACAGGCAGGAGUCUUCCUUCCAGCCUCCCUCUGGGGCGGGCAGGCAGCACGGCGAUCACCUGCCCCCACUCCCUCAUCUAUCACCCUGAACUGUGUUCACGGUAAAAUUACUCAUCCUCAGCCAGUGAUAAAUGGCAUCAGUCUAGAGCCAGCCCGCGGCAGGGGGUGGGGCUCCCUGCUCAGGGUUCCCAGGCCUGGGCCAGAUAAACCUGGUGAGCUGCGCCUUUGUGCUCACACGCAGCUGGCAAUGGCAAGUCAGUGGAUUUGUACGUGUCUGAUGUGUGCCCUUGGUAAAAGCACACGUGUGCACGAUUCUGUGUGCAUGUGCUUGCGGGGGCUGGGGGCUGAGGGAGGCCAUCUGGGAUGUGGGGUCUGGAUGUGGUGGCCAGGGUGGGCGCUAGGCAGGCAGCAGAGUGGAGAAGGUAUGUCACCAGGAGAAGGGACCCAAGGAAUCGAAGAGCAGGGGGAGCCACUGAGUGGGGUGCAGGGAAGAUGGGGUGUCUGGGAGCUCAGCCUCGUGCAGAGGGAGGGAAGCAGGCAGCUCCUGGGUGCACGGGUGGGGCAUACUCUCUACAGAUUCAAUGCUGGAUUUGUAUAGUGUAUAGAUUUUCAAUAGUUAUUUAAAAUCAUCAAAAACAAUCGUGUUUACAAUUUACUGGGCAGCCACUAUAUGCUGGUCAACAUCUAGAAUUUAUCAACAAUUGUACAAGCCAAGUAUUUUAUCCUCAUUUCUACAGAGGAUAAAACCGAGAAUAAGGAACUUUACAUUGUCAAUGAUCAAACACCUAGUGCACCCAUGGCCGUGCGUCCGCAGGACAAAGCAGCCUUUGGAGCCCUGGAACUUAAGAUGUCCAGAGAUCAGCAGCUCUCGGCUCAGGCCCAGGCAGCUGGACAGCACCCAGCGCCUCCUCCAGGUCCUCCUGGGUCCCCUCCUUUCUUUCACUUUCAGCCCGGGAAUCUCUGUGAAGUCCUAGCUGAUAACUAAGGGGUUAAUGAAUAAUCACAGUGAUGAGCUCUGGAGGAGCCAUGGCCCAGAGCAGCUGUGGCCUCCUUUGAUUAAACCACAGAAGUCCGGAGGAUCAGGCCUCAAACCUCCACCACCUGCCAGCUGGCACCUGUGAAGGAGGUGGGACCAGCACCCACCUCACAGUGGCUGCAGGGUCACCUGAGAUGGUGAUUGCAAAGUGCUGAGCCAUCGGGACACAUAUUUCCAAGACCUCCUGAGUGCCGGCUGGCCCCUGGAGCAGAGAUGAGACCCCUGUGGGGCCUACAGUCCAGUUAUGAAGGCAGGGUUCCUGUGUAAGCCAGCAGGCCCAGUUCUGGAAAGGCCAGGAUGUGGGUUCAGAAGCUCAAGGACAAUGGACUCAUUCUGACUGGAGGGAUCCAGGAAGGCUUCGUGGAGGAAGUGGCAUUUGACAUUGGCAUCAAGGAUGAACAGGAAUAGAGAGAGGGGACUGGUGUCUGCGUGAAGGAUCGCCAAAGCGCUGUUCUGGGGUGAGGGCGAUCAGCCCCUCCUGCCCCUCCUGAACUAUGAGGCUCGGGAGCCUUUGGCAGAAGGUGGCUCUGCACGCCCCAGGUGCAAGCUUGGAGCUUCCUUUUCUGCACUCCACAGCAGGAAGAAGGGCAGUGUGAACUGCUCACCACUGUCUUCCUGGGUUUGCAGCUCUGCGCCUGGCACAGAGACAGGCUCAGUGACGGUUGAAGGAAUCGGAGAAAUAAUGAAAAGUGUGUUCAUCCUGCAGGCAGCAGAGCCUCGGGUUAACCGUUAACGUCAGGAAAUGACAGAUCCAACGCUCCUGCUUGGGGCAGCGUGGAGGCCAGCGGAGGAACUGCAGGAGCCUAAAGGAGAUGGCGCGCGGGCCUGGCUCAGGAGAGCAGCCGUCUGAAAGAUGGCGGCGAAGGGUGCGGGAGGAGAUGCCCCGGGCAGGGGCUUGGCGGGGUCUGGCACCAAACUUCCCAAAGCAGCUGCCUCUGUGAACUGUGCCUGGCAGGGAGGGAGCCACACCGGGAGUGACCCUAGACGCUGGCUCCCCAGGGGUGACUGGAGGCAGUGUCUCCCGCCCAUGUGGGCCUCCGGCUUGGGGUCCCCAGAGCUCUGCCCUGCUGCUGGCUGCACUGAGAGAGGUGGCCUUCUGAAUGGGCCCUGUCCCCGGGGAGCCUCUGGUAAAGAGAUUCACCUGCACCCUCAAAACACGCCAUGCCCAUUGGAGGCUCUGGGUGCAGGCUGCCCCUCAAACAGAGAAAAACCACACGCUGUUUAAGACCCAAACCAAGGAGACAGCCCCUCAUGCCCCCUUCUAUCUCCCCUUCUGUCCAGGGCCCCCUGCCUGCUCUGGUCCACCCCGUCCUGACCCCCUCUGCCUGUUCAUCUGAGGGCCGUGAGCCAAGGCCUGGGCCUGGCCAAGGGUCAGGGAUCCUGGGACCUGCUUGAGACCAUGCCCCAUACACUCCUUCGGCCAGAAGGUCAGCCGUAGAGACAAACCCCCACCCUGAGCCCGCAGUGUCAGCAACGCCCUGUCCUCAGUGCCAGGCAGUGUCAGGCUGAGACCCGGGCCACCUGAUCCAACGUCCACUCCAAGCAAGCCAGAGCCAGGUGCUGCCAGCCUGCCCAUGUGCACACGUUAGCAGACAGGUUUCCUGGUGUGGCACACACGUGUUAUGACCGCGGCUGCUGCCCCCAGCCCAGAGUGCACUUCCGGGUAAUCCAGCACCCUGAGGCUUCACUGCUCUCCUGAGAGUUUUCUAAGAUUAAAUCUCCUUCACAAUGACAGCCUCCUGUCACCUGGGCCCUGGUGACAAAGCCUUUGGAGAGGCAAGGACCCAGCCGGGGCAUUCACAGUGGGCAUGCUAUCCACCCUCCGCCCCUGUCCUGGCCCCCACAGUGGAGCCGCCACCUUGGGUAACAGGGGCUGCCUGAGGUCCUGGAGAAGGAAGAACCAGGUGGCCCACCUUCGGUGCACAGGGAACAGCAGGGACCUGACGGCAGCCCCCGCACCCCUCCCUGGGCUGAAGUUCAGGCUGUCUCAUCCCUUGCCAGGAGCUCAGGGCUGAGCUAGGUUGGCAGGGGAUGGGUUGAGGGUCUGUUGUCCAGCAGAUUGCCCGGGCCCCACCCAGGCCACUCAGAAAACACCUGUGAGAGCCCCGCAGGCAUGCAGGGCACUGUCGUGAGCACACCAGUGGGGACAGACGUCCAGGCAGGAGGGAGCAGCCAGACCCCCAUCCCGCCAGGGUCACCAGGUGAGCAAGGCUGGGGAACAAUGGAGGCGGAGCCCCGCGACUGCCCAGCUCACUGCCCCCAGUGUCCAGGCUGUGGUGCAGGCGUGGGGACCCAGGUGUGUUCAGGGGUCUCCUUCAGGGAAGGAGACCAAGCUGGGAGUCUGGGGAGGCUGAGGUGUGAGGUGACAGCAGGUAAAGAGUGAGCCACAAUCAGCAUUUUCACAUGAAAGGAAACUACAGGCCUGGGCGCAGUGGCUCACGCCUGUAAUCCCGGCACUGUGGGAGGCUGAGGUGGGAGGAUCACCUGAGGUCGGGAGUUCGAGACCAGCCUGACCAACAUGGAGAAACCCCAUUUCUACUAAAAAAAAUACAAAAUUAGCUGGGCAUGGUGGCGCAUGCCUGUAAUCCUAGCUAUUCGGGAGGCUGAGACAGGAGAAUCACUUGAACCCGGGAGGCGGAGGUUAUGGAGAGCCAAGAUCGCACCACUGCACCCCAGCCUGGGCAACAAGAGUAAAACUCCGUCUCAAAAAAAAAAAAAAAAGAAGAAAGAAAAAGAAAAAAAGAAAGGCAACUACAGAAGGUGAGGAGAACCACCCGAGAUCACCAGAGGGAACCGUGGAAGGUCCGUGGUCCACCAGCCAGGCUGGGGCACCUCAGCCCCUGGGCAGAGCACCAAGCAGGGCCGUGCCCUGGUAAAGGAGGGCACAGUCAGCCCCAGACUACAAGCUGCCUUGGUCCUCCCAGCAGGGCUUAAAAGCAAGACCCCAAAGGACCAAACAGCUUCCAAGUAACUUCCUGGAGUCCUGAGCAAAGUAAGCUUUUCUCAGCUUUGCUACAAAAAUAGUCAGCACCCAGCAAAAUUCACAAUCCCUGUCACCCAUUCAAAAAUCACCAGGCAUGCGAGGAAGCAGGAAAAGGAAAAUGCACCCAGAAGAGAAGGAGCACCCAUCAACGGGGCCGCCUCAGAAGCAACAGACGACCGGGCAAGUCCAAGGGCACCGAGGCACCUGCCACCACUGCGCCCAGCACUCCCGAAGCCAGAGGGCAGAUUGAGGUUCAGAGAAGUCAGAAGCCUUCCCAAGGCUGCACAGCCAGAAGUGGGCACAGCGUCCUGGGGUGAGGGCUCACACCAUCUGCGCCACCUGCCCUCCAGGUCCCACCAUCCUCACAAAUUCAAGGCAAGGUUCUGGAACCCCCAGCCCUCCAGAAAGGGGAAGCUGAGCCCAGGAAGCACAUCUGAGAGUUCGGGUCCGUGAGUUUACCCUGCGCUCACGCCGAUUCCUCCUGCAUCCUCUGUCGGGAUGUCUGGAUUCCAGAGUCCCCACCCUGAUUUUCCAACCUUGCCUCAGCCUUGGCUUCUCCCUUUUGGGGUGGGACAGGGAACCCCAGCAGCAGGUGUAUGAGGGCAUGAGAGGGCAGGAGGUGCCCUAUGCCUACCCGCCAGACCAGGGCCCCAGCCCUGGACACAGGGAGAGAGCAUGAGCGCUGUUCCUGCUCCCACUCCCUCAUCUGAGCAGGUGCUCCCAGGUACAGGUGCCGAGUCCCACCCAGAGGGGCCCUGCCACAACCAGAGGACUGACAAACCCAGACACAACUGUCUCUUCCCCCUGGUCAGGGUCUGGGCAAGGGUCCCUCUGGGCUGCUGUCCAUGCUGUGAGUGUCCGUGCUGUGGGCCACUGCCGUGGGUGUCCGUGCUGUGGCCUGCUGUCGUGGGUGUCCGUGCUGUGGCCCGCUCCCGGGGCCGGCGCCGAGGGAAGGUUGGGCCACAGCCUCCCCCGCACUGAGCGGCUGCAGUCCUUUAUUGCACAAAUUAUUAACGACCAGAGAAUGAAUGACUCUGUAAUCAGAUCAGCCACCGGCACGGCCACCCCAGUGUGAUUCCUCAGCAGCCACACAGAAGACAGAUGGUCCAUAGGAGACUCAGAAACAGAGAAGCCUCACGCCAGGUCCACAGAGGCACCCACGCCCGCCAAAAGGAUGCCACGCACUCACCCUGCCCUCUGGGGAGCACAGUGGGAGUCCAGGACACCGCCUUGGAUGGGGUGAGGCUCCGUCUGUGACCUCAGAAAGUCAGUCUGGGGCUGGACUUGACAUGGGAAACAGAAUAAAACUGCCUGUCCACCUGAGCUUGCCGCCCUAAAAAUCCCUGACAUGAUACAGAAGUCAGUGCUGACAGAGGGCCUGCUACCCCCAGUGACCCUGCCGGUGGGGUCUCAACCCACCCACUUCUUCUGGAGCAGCCGGUCACAGCUGUGGUCCUGCUGGCGCACACGGGUAUGAGACCCUAAAACACACAGCGACUGCACAGUGCAACCCUGCAUAUCCCAUUUGGGUACAAGUUUCAUUACAGGAAGAAACACGGGGAGGGACCCCAGAGCAGCUCACGCGUGGGUACCCUCCGCUGUGUUAGCGUCCCGGCCCUCACACGGCACCCAGGCCUCGUUGGGGCAAGGCCUUGUGCAGACACGGUGGGAUCUGCAUGUGCACUGGGGCCUGUGCCUGGGCUGCUGCUCCCCGGCCACCGGUGUCAGGAUCUCCAGGACCCCCAUGAGUGGUCAGUGGAGCAGAGAUGGCACAGACGCCAGCGACCUGGGUCAUUCUCUACCUGGGAUGUGGGACCCCAGAGACCAUGCUGUGGGUCUUUAUCUGCCUCUUCAUGCAGGAGCAGGUGCGACCCCCGCCUGCCCCAGCCAUGAGGCUCUGUCACAGGGGACCUCUGUGGCACCCUGUGCUGCAGGCAAGGCCUUAGGACAGAUGCCACGCCACUGUCCAGGAGACUGUCUCCUGAGACUGACCUCCCCUUGCACUGGGCAAUGUCUGCUGAAGAUAAGGACGUCUUCACUGGGCCAGGCCUGGAGUUCUCCCAGAUCGUGAGCUUUCCUCUCUCUGAUGAAGAGGAUACCUGUGGUCAAACUCCUACAGAGCACUGGGGACAGGAAGGCAGGCAGAGUCCCACCUGGGCAGGUGGUAGGAGUGGAAGGAGCAGGCAGGCAGCAGGGCUGCCCAGGGCUAGGAGUCUGGCUGUGAGCAGGGCCCACCCUCCCCUGGACACAAUGGAGGACCCCGUGUGUGGUUUUCACUGACUGAGCACCUAUCUCGUGCCAGACAUGUGGGAUUGCCGGUGAAUUAACAAAAGCCCUGCUCUCAGGGGGCUCCCAUCCCAGCACAUACACCGUCACAUCUGGGGUCCAGCCUGGACCCCCCCAUGCAGUUGGAGAGGGUCUCAGAACCAGGUCUGAGAACAGCAACUUCCAGCCACGGCACCCCACCCCUCCCCAGCUGGCCUGGGCUCCAGCUCCUCGCACCUGAGGCUGCCUGUGCAGGGCCCCCGGCUGGUGCCCCUCUCCUCUGAAGCUCGGGGGUCGCCACAGCCUGGCACCCUCAUCGGGCCUGUUACGCACGUUCUGGUCUCUCCGUGCCCACAGACCCGCCAAGCUCACCAGCCAAUGUGCAGCCAGCACAAGCCCGACCUGCUAGGGGCCUCAGAACAAGCGGUGUGGCCCGAGGCCGUCACACAGCACCUGUGCUGAGAGUGAGCUGACGUGGACGGCGGCACCGUGGCCGUGGCAGAGGCACCAUCCCUCCACCCUCACUCAUGUAGGGAUGUGGGGCACACGGACUGGAGCCCAAGGCCUUCGUGCUGGGCCCUGGCUCUGCACUCGGCUCCCAGAGUCUCCCACCCAAUGUCAGAGAGGGUGCCGCAACAGUGCUUCGGGGGCUCCUGUCAUGAGGGCUGAGGACCACCUAGGCCCACGUCCGCCCAGCAGGUGGCAGCUGCAUCCCCGGUCCCCUCCACAACCCGGGCCAGGUCCAGGCUGCAGGCCGCAGUGUUGGCAGGGGGAGGAGAGGGUGAAAUUGGCUGAGCCCAUCCAUUGGGACAGACCCUCCCGCUCCUUGGGGCUCUGGAGAACUCUAUUCCUUCUCUUUGCUUAACCUCAAGGUGCUGGGGCCUCUGGCUGCUGCAGCAUUUACAGAGGAAUUGUCUGGGAUGUGCCGGGCCGAGCACUGUAGCUCUCGCCGGUGUCUGCGUCAGCACGCUAGUGACAUGGCAGGUGAGGACCACGGCACCGCCCCUGCGAUCUGGCAGUCAGAGCCCACCUGUGUGUCUGCAGGAGCAUCCCUGACUACACACCACGGGACGGCAGGGAAGGGUCCCUCGGGCCCCACCCCUUUGUUCUUUCAAUGGUAAAGGUUCAGGUCGGUGGACAGACUGGACUUGGAAACACCUUCUUGCGUCCUCGAAACGACGUGGCACGCAGCCAGCUCACAGCACCCAAAGGCACGGGCAAGUUGCAUCACGGCAGCCCCUCCUGUCUGACCAGGAGCAGGUGCGUUCCUGAGGUCCUGGCCACUUCUGCAGGAGCGUCCGAGGGAGCCCAGCUGAUAUACCACAGCCCCUGACCUCCCAGGUUAGCCUUUCCAUCCAACAGCACCAG
rnacentral:lncRNA from 1 species